rnacentral:rRNA from 1 species
GCUUACGGCCAUACCACCUUAGGCACGCCCGAUCUCGUCUGAUCUCGGAAGCUAAGCAGGGUCGGGCCUGGUUAGUACUUGGAUGGGUGACCGCCUGGGAUACCAGGUGCUGUAAGCA